rnacentral:rRNA from 1 species
AGAGCGUACGGUGGAUGCCUUGGCACCAGGAGCCGAUGAAGGACGUAGGAGGCUGCGAUAAGCCUCGGGGAGCUGUCAACCGAGCUGUGAUCCGAGGAUGUCCGAAUGGGGAAACCCAGCACGAGUGAUGUCGUGUUACCCGCGCCUGAAUAUAUAGGGCGUGUGGAGGGAACGUGGGGAAGUGAAACAUCUCAGUACCCACAGGAAGAGAAAACAACCGUGAUUCCGUGAGUAGUGGCGAGCGAAAGCGGAAGAGGCUAAACCAUGGGUGUGUGAUAGCCGGCAGGUGUUGCAUUCGUGGGGUUGUGGGGUUCAUUUUGUCAAUACUGCCGUGUUGGCCAACAGUAAGAAAUCACAGGGUUAGUGGAAGUGGUCUGGAACGGCCUGUCGUAGAGGGUGAGAAUCCCGUACACGAAAACUUUGUGACUGUUGUAAUGGAAACCCAAGUAGCACCGGGCCCGUGAAAUCUGGUGUGAAUCUGUCGGGACCACCCGAUAAGCCUGAAUACUCCCUGGUGACCGAUAGCGGACUAGUACCGUGAGGGAAAGGUGAAAAGUACCCCGGGAGGGGAGUGAAAUAGUACCUGAAACCGUGCGCUUACAAUCCGUCAGAGCCUUCGAGCAGUUUACUGCUGGGGGUGAUGGCGUGCCUUUUGAAGAAUGAGCCUGCGAGUUAGUGGCAUGUCGCGAGGUUAACCCGUGUGGGGUAGCCGUAGCGAAAGCGAGUCCGAAUAGGGCGAUCGUAGUGGCAUGCUCUAGACCCGAAGCGGAGUGAUCUACCCAUGGCCAGGUUGAAGCGACGGUAAGACGUCGUGGAGGACCGAACCCACUUAGGUUGAAAACUGAGGGGAUGAGUUGUGGGUAGGGGUGAAAGGCCAAUCAAACUCCGUGAUAGCUGGUUCUCCCCGAAAUGCAUUUAGGUGCAGCGUCGCGUGUUUCUCACCGGAGGUAGAGCUACUGGAUGGUCUAGGGGGCCCACAAGCUUACCGAAAUCAGCCAAACUCCGAAUGCCGGUGAGUGAGAGCGCGGCAGUGAGACUGCGGGCGAUAAGGUUCGUAGUCGAGAGGGAAACAGCCCAGAUCGCCAGCUAAGGUCCCUAAGCGUGUACUAAGUGGAAAAGGAUGUGGGGUCGCGAAGACAACCAGGAGGUUGGCUUAGAAGCAGCCACCCUUGAAAGAGUGCGUAAUAGCUCACUGGUCAAGUGAUCCUGCGCCGACAAUGUAGCGGGGCUCAAGUACACCACCGAAGCUGCGGCAUUCACGCAAUAGCCCCCCUUCACUCUGCGGAGUGUUGGGCAGGUGUGUGGAUGGGUAGGGGAGCGUCGUGUGGCCAUGGAAGCGGCAGGGUGACCUAGCCGUGGAGGCCACACGAGUGAGAAUGCAGGCAUGAGUAGCGAAAGACGAGUGAGAAACUCGUCCGCCGAAUGACCAAGGGUUCCUGGGCCAGGUUAAUCCGCCCAGGGUGAGUCGGGACCUAAGACGAGGCCGACAGGCGUAGCCGAUGGACAACGGGUUGAUAUUCCCGUACCCGUGUGAACGCGCCCAUGGUGAAUCAGUGAUACUAACCAUCCUGAAGCCACGAGAAGACCUUCGGGUCUCGAGUUGGUGGAUGCAUGGGACCUGAUCUGGUAGUAGCCAAGCGAUGGGGUGACGCAGGAAGGUAGCUGAGCCAGUCAGUGGUAAUACUGGUGUAAGCGUGUAGGGCGUGACCUAGGCAAAUCCGGGUCGCACAUAGCCUGAGACGUGAUGCGUAGCCGAUUGAGGCGAAUUCAGUGAUCCUAUGCUGCCGAGAAAAGCCUCUAGCGAGCUUUCACACGGCCCGUACCCCAAACCGACACAGGUGGUCAGGUAGAGAAUACUAAGGCGAUCGAGAUAACUAUGGUUAAGGAACUCGGCAAAAUGCCCCCGUAACUUCGGGAGAAGGGGGGCCCUGUCUGGUGACGACAUUUACUGUCUGAGCUGGGUGGGGCCGCAGAGACCAGUGAGAAGCGACUGUUUACUAAAAACACAGGUCCGUGCGAAGUCGUAAGACGAUGUAUACGGACUGACGCCUGCCCGGUGCUGGAAGGUUAAGAGGACCGGUUAGUUCCUUCGGGAGCGAAGCUGAGAAUUUAAGCCCCAGUAAACGGCGGUGGUAACUAUAACCAUCCUAAGGUAGCGAAAUUCCUUGUCGGGUAAGUUCCGACCUGCACGAAUGGCGUAACGACUUCUCAGCUGUCUCAACCGUAGACUCGGCGAAAUUGCAUUACGAGUAAAGAUGCUCGUUACGCGCGGCAGGACGAAAAGACCCCGGGACCUUCACUACAGCUUGGUAUUGGUGUUCGGUUCGGUUUGUGUAGGAUAGGUGGGAGACUGUGAAACGGUGACGCCAGUUAUCGUGGAGUCGUUGUUGAAAUACCACUCUGAUCGAAUUGGACCUCUAACCUCGGACCAUGAUCUGGUUCAGGGACAGUGCCUGGUGGGUAGUUUAACUGGGGCGGUUGCCUCCCAAAAUGUAACGGAGGCGCCCAAAGGUUCCCUCAGCCUGGUUGGCAAUCAGGUGUCGAGUGCAAGUGCACAAGGGAGCUUGACUGUGAGACUGACAGGUCGAGCAGGGACGAAAGUCGGGACUAGUGAUCCGGCACCGGCAAGUGGAAGCGGUGUCGCUCAACGGAUAAAAGGUACCCCGGGGAUAACAGGCUGAUCUUCCCCAAGAGUCCAUAUCGACGGGAUGGUUUGGCACCUCGAUGUCGGCUCGUCGCAUCCUGGGGCUGGAGUAGGUCCCAAGGGUUGGGCUGUUCGCCCAUUAAAGCGGCACGCGAGCUGGGUUUAGAACGUCGUGAGACAGUUCGGUCUCUAUCCGCCGCGCGCGUUAGAAACUUGAGGAAGGCUGUCCCUAGUACGAGAGGACCGGGACGGACGAACCUCUGGUGUGCCAGUUGUUCCGCCAGGAGCACCGCUGGUUAGCUACGUUCGGAAGGGAUAACCGCUGAAAGCAUCUAAGCGGGAAGCCUGUUCCAAGAUGAGGUUUCU